CGGGUGAGUAAUACAUCGGAACGUGCCCUGUAGUGGGGGAUAACUAGUCGAAAGACUAGCUAAUACCGCAUACGACCUGAGGGUGAAAGUGGGGGACCGCAAGGCCUCAUGCUAUAGGAGCGGCCGAUGUCUGAUUAGCUAGUUGGUGGGGUAAAGGCCCACCAAGGCGACGAUCAGUAGCUGGUCUGAGAGGACGAUCAGCCACACUGGGACUGAAACACGGCCCAGACUCCUACGGGAGGCAGCAGUGGGGAAUUUUGGACAAUGGGGGCAACCCUGAUCCAGCAAUGCCGCGUGUGUGAAGAAGGCCUUCGGGUUGUAAAGCACUUUUGUCCGGAAAGAAAUCGCACUGGUUAAUACCUGGUGUGGAUGACGGUACCGGAAGAAUAAGGACCGGCUAACUACGUGCCAGCAGCCGCGGUAAUACGUAGGGUCCAAGCGUUAAUCGGAAUUACUGGGCGUAAAGCGUGCGCAGGCGGUUGUGCAAGACCGAUGUGAAAUCCCCGGGCUUAACCUGGGAAUUGCAUUGGUGACUGCACGGCUAGAGUGUGUCAGAAGGAGGUAGAAUUCCACGUGUAGCAGUGAAAUGCGUAGAGAUGUGGAGGAAUACCGAUGGCGAAGGCAGCCUCCUGGGAUAACACUGACGCUCAUGCACGAAAGCGUGGGGAGCAAACAGGAUUAGAUACCCUGGUAGUCCACGCCCUAAACGAUGUCAACUAGUUGUUGGGGAUUCAUUUCCUUAGUAACGUAGCUAACGCGUGAAGUUGACCGCCUGGGGAGUAC
rnacentral:rRNA from 1 species